ensembl:lncRNA
AAAUAUGACUGCACGUAUCUGACAAAAACUUUGCGUGCAUUUAAAAUGAGUGAAUUUUAUUAUGUUAUUAUUGUACAUAGAUGAUUUUAUGUAUUUGACGCUUUUGCACCUUAAAAACCGCACUGCUGUUUAAAAGGAAACUGAAUGAUUGUGUGAAAAGAAAAGAUGGAUUUGUGCCUUGGAAACAGAGAGGCUGGAGGUAGUUUUAUAUAGUCAGUUGCUGAACACCAAAAAGUACACAAGGACUAAAAACAAGGACUGUCUAAACUAGUAAUAAAGAAGGAUUUGCCCUGGACUGAACUAGAACUAAUCUGGGACUAAACCAAGACUAAACAAGGACUAAGCCAGGACUAAAGAAGGACUUAACCAGAAUUAAACAAGGACUAAGCUGAGACUAAACAAGGACAAAACUCAACCAGGACUCAACCAGGACUUAACCAGCACUCCAACAGGACUCAAACAGGACUCAGCAAGCAGACGACUACAACACAACCUCUACAUCCAGCCCCUCUCUGCUCUUUGCUUGACUUGUCUCUAAACUGAAAAUCCCUUAACGAAACUCCUUUAACUUAAUAGAUUUAACAUUGGAAUUAAAGUGUGGGCCAUAUGAAGAAAAGUAUAAUGAAUUUUUAAUAACCGUAAUACAUAUGCAGCGUGUGAUGAUGUCUUACUCCCAUUUGGGGGAUAAGAGACAGUUGUUUUUUUUCCUCCUAUUGAUUGAUUGUGAUGAUGUCUGAAACCCUGGUUGAAGUAAUUGCAUCCAUGUACUUCUUUUGAGGGUUCACACUACAUUCUGAUUGGUCACAUCCACCUGUCACUCACUUGGAGCUUUAGAAGCUGAUCAAUAAGGAGGAGAGGGUGGGGAAAGUGUCUGUGUUAAAGCAUAGAGCUGUAACAGCACUAAAUCACCAUGGAAACCAUCUUUUGAUUGAUUUGAAUGUCACAAAAUCUGAUCAUUGUUCAAUUUUAUAUCAUCAUAUCGCCCACCCUUCUGGAAAUCUAUAAGCAGAACUAUGUAACGUUCUUGUUUUUUAUGUCUUAUGCUUUAUUUGCCUUUGUACAGCGCCCCCUAUGUUUGUAAGUAAAUAACUGUUGUAAAUAUUUGCAAUAUUUAAUGUGCAAAUUAAUUACUCCCUACCCUAUAUUUGACCUUUUUUUUAGGUGAAAACGUCAGAGUUCUGCUUUUUAAAUGGGAGUUUAGGGAUUUUUAAAGGUGUACCAAGUAACUUCCGAUGGAGCGUUGGCCACCUGCUUGUGUCUAUGGAGGUGUUAUUGCUUUGCCUCAAAUGUUCCACAUGUGAAACUUGGUAACCGUAUAAAUCCAAGAUAUACAUCGUUUUUACUGUUCAAAAAUACUAUAAAUACACAUGUUACUGUGAGUGGAAUCACCUCUCUCUUUAUGUUUUUUUAUAAUAGGAUUCUGUUCACAUUUUAAAAGUGUCCAGAAGAAUUGACAAAAGACAAAAAUAUGAACUGAUUCCAGGCAAAGCAAUAAGAUCACUGUUGUGACAAGCAAGUGGCAAAUCCUUCACCAGAAAAGUUCCACAGUGCAGCUUUAUCUUUCAAAAGAGAUGUGAGUUGUUUUACCAAAUACAAUGAUCUUUGUGCCUUUGAAACUUUGUUGUGAACAUUUGUGACUGUCAGUGCACUAGCCCUCCCUGGGUUACCGUGGGCACUCUGCUCUUCCUCCCACCAAUCAAAAUGUAUGUAGCCAGCCGUCUAACUGAUCUAAAUAACCACUAUUGAAAGAAUGAAUGCUCAUAUGAAUGGCACAAUUUUAUUUUAUUAUUUAUUUUCUGCUUUCCAAAAUCGAUCUUUAAAAAAACCCACUGAAGCCUCUCAAAUGCAUAACAUGAUCUGAGUGAAUGUGAGUGAAUGCGUUGGCUUAGAGGCCCAUAGUUACAGGGAGAGGCUCCAUAUUUUGUCUAUUUGUUCACAGUCCAUUUUCUUUCUUUUUUUUUUAAUUCUACUGGCUUCUCGAAGAUGUUUGUGGGUUGUUAUCAUUUGUUUGGGUCUCUGCCAAUCAUUAUUACUUGUAUGUUUAUAAUUUGAUAUAAAAGAAGAAAAAUAACAUAAAAACAUAUUCUAAUUAUGUACACAGUUGAACUUUUGGAAAGUGUCUGCCCUAAUUUGUUCACACUUGCAUAAAAGUUUGAAAACCAUUG